rnacentral:rRNA from 1 species
UACGUAGGGGGCAAGCGUUGUUCGGAUUUACUGGGCGUAAAGGGCGCGUAGGCGCCUUGUCAGUCAGGCGUGAAAGCCCCGGGCUCAACCUGGGAACGGCGACUUGGGACGGCGAGGCUGGAGUUCGGGAGAGGAGGAGUGGAAUUCCCAGUGUAGGAGGUGAAAUUCGUAGAUAGUUGGGAAAGAACACCGGUGGCGAAGGCGGCUCUCUGG